UACAAUGUCCAAAUGUUAAAGCCUAUGAACCUUUACAAUGUCCAAACGUUAAAGACUCUGAAUUUUUACAAUGUCCAAAUGUGAAAUUCUCUGAAAUACUACAAGGUCCAGCAUGAAAUGCUAAUUCAAAGAAAGCCCGAUACAAUCUUUCUCAAGAAUAUCAUACGGAUUUUUCCCUACUUCGAUCUGCCGUUAUGUGUUUUCGCAAAAGAGAAUUAGUUCAGGUAUGUUAAGGCUAUCUUUUCUUUCUUUUGUCACCAUACGAUGCGAAUGAAACGUGCAAAUACACAAAUUCCAUGAAUGACUCUAUUCAUAGAAGUAUUAGAAAUAUCUAUGUUCUUGAAUUUUCGUGUGUCAUAAUAUUUUAUCAUCUGUUCAUGGGUCUCAAAAAAAUACGAAAGAUGAAAAGAGUUUACUUUAUGAUAUUACUCAAAGGCAAAAUAGUCUUAUGAAGCUCUGAAGAUUUUAUUAACGUACGUUUCAUGCAUUGCAUUCAUGUGAAUUGGCCUAUGAAGAGAUGGCGUUAUAUACGCAUAUAUAUAUGUAUGUAUAUGGGAUAUGGGAAAAGUUAUGACAUUAUAUACACACCACCAUCUAAUCAGGUGGUAUAUGAUGAUGAUGUUGCCUAGAGUGGCUGAAAUAUAACUCAGACGACGUUAUAUACGCGUAUAUCUGUAUGUAUAUAUAUGUAUAUGGGAUAUGGGAAUGGUUAUGGUAUUAUAUACGCACCACCACCUGAUCAGUUGGUAUACGAUAAUAAUUUUGCCCAUAGUGGCUGAUAUGAUAUGAUGGGAUGCCCUCAGAGGCUGAUGAUGUUAUGAAACAUGUACCUAUGCACGACAUGACAUUCAUAUGCAUAUGCAUGACACUAAAAGUAAUUUAUGAUUUACAAAGUUAUUUAGGCUUACAAAUUGAGUCAUGUACUCUAUAUUUCUUCCAUGUCUCUUAUGUAUUUAUUUAUGUGCCUUACAUACUUGGUAUAUUAUUCGUACUGACGUCCCUUUUGCCUGGGGACGCUACAUUUCAUGCCCGCAGGUCCCGAUAGACAGGUCUAAAGCCCUCCAAAUUGGCUAUCAACUUAGCGGAAGAUGUUGGUUCGCUCCAUUUGCUUCGGAGUUGAUCGUUUGGUUAGUAUAAUUUAGACGUGUAUUGUUUCGUAUGGUGGGACUUUGUCCCGACCUUUAUGAUAUUUAUAUACUCUUAGAGGCUUGUAGACAUAUGUCGU
rnacentral:lncRNA from 1 species